rnacentral:rRNA from 1 species
CCUGGUUGAUCCUGCCAGUAGUCAUAUGCUUGUCUCAAAGAUUAAGCCAUGCAUGUCUAAGUACAAGCCUCACUAAGGUGAAACCGCGAAUGGCUCAUUAAAUCACACCUAAUCUACUGGAUAGUAGUCAGUUACUCGGAUACCUGCGGUAAUUCUGCAGCUAAUACGUGCAAACAAGCCUCGACUUUGGAAGAGGCGCUUUUAUUAGAUCAAAACCGAUCGGCUUCGGCCGUCCUUUUGGUGAUUCUGAAUAACUUUGAGCUGAUCGCAUGGCCUCGAGCCGGCGACAUAUCCAUCGAAGGUGUGCCCUAUCAUCUGUCGACUGUGGCAUAGACGCCCACAGUGGAUUUGACGGGUAACGGGGAAUCAGGGUUCGAUUCCGGAGAGGGAGCCUUAAAAACGGCUACCACAUCCAAGGAAGGCAGCAGGCACGCAAAUUACCCAAGGACCGAAUGUCGAGGUGGUGACGAAAAAUAACGAUACGGGACUCAUCCGAGGCCCCGUAAUCGGAAUGAGUACACUUUAAAAC